CGGAGGGGCUCCAGAGGCGCGCGUGCGCCGGCUGCGGGCCAGCCGGGCGCGAUGGACCGGGCCCUUCCCAACGCCCCGAGUCUGGCGCAGCCGCUGCCGGCCGAGGUGUGCUUCGAGGAGGAGCUCUAUGACUGCCCCGAUUACUACUACCUGCGCGACUUCCCGGCCGGUGGGGCCGGGCACAGCAAGGGCCGCACGCGGCGCGAGCGGGAACUGCGCACCAACUGGCCGGUGCCUGGCGGCCACGAGCGCAAGAUCGCACAGAAACUCCUGAACGGCCAGCGCAAGCGGCGCCAGCGCAAGCUGCAGCCCCGGCCGCGCACUCGCCUCGCCUGCGCGCUGGUGCGUACGGGCCAGACCCUUGGGGCCCGGGGAGGCCCGUGAGCGCGAGCGCCGCGGGCCACUUCCUUGGUCCCCUACGAUUCGACCCGGGCACAGUCGCCCCUUCGGAAGCGGCCCCGUCUUAGCGAGUCGCAGGUGGACCCCGUUAGCCCGCAGCUUAUCUCCUGACUGCAGUUGGAAUGGUGGAAGGGGCUAGGGAAGGAUACCGAAGGACCUGAUAAAAAAAAGUCUUGUCUUUGACUCCCGCUGCAACUGGUCUUAGGGGAGAGAAUCCAUGUUGGUCAACAGAAUUUGGUUUUGGCAUCGCUUAAGUUUACUGCUUCAACGGCCAGACUCUGGUUGUUAAGUAACAUCCAAGUGGGUAUGCCUUUUUAGGGUUUUUAAUUAAAAGAGAACAGCAGCAAGAGUGGCAUUUUAA